GGGUGCGAUCAUACCAGCACUAAUGCACCGGAUCCCAUCAGAACUCCGAAGUUAAACGUGCUUGGGCGAGAGUAGUACUAGAAUGGGUGACCUCCUGGGAAGUCCUCGUGUUGCACCCC
rnacentral:rRNA from 1 species